rnacentral:rRNA from 1 species
UACGGAGGGUGCGAACGUUUAAUCGGAAUCACUGGGCGUAAAGCGCGCGUAGGCGGUCUGUUAAGUGGGAUGUGAAAUCCCCCGGGCUUAACCUGGGAAUUGCAUUUCAAACUGGCCGACUAGAGUACGGUAGAGGGAGGUAGAAUUUCCUGUGUAGCGGUGAAAUGCGUAGAUAUAGGAAGGAAUACCAGUGGCGAAGGCGGCCUCCUGGAUCGAUACUGACGCUGAGGCGCGAAAGCGUGGGGAGCAAACAGG